rnacentral:rRNA from 1 species
AACGAACGCUGGCGGCAUGCCUAACACAUGCAAGUCGAACGAGACCUUCGGGUCUAGUGGCGCACGGGUGCGUAACGCGUGGGAACCUGCCCUUAGGUUCGGAAUAACUCCCCGAAAGGGGUGCUAAUACCGGAUAAUUUCUUCGGACCAAAGAUUUAUCGCCUUUGGAUGGGCCCGCGUUGGAUUAGCUAGUUGGUAGGGUAAAAGCCUACCAAGGCGACGAUCCAUAGCUGGUCUGAGAGGAUGAUCAGCCACACUGGGACUGAGACACGGCCCAGACUCCUACGGGAGGCAGCAGUGGGGAAUAUUGGACAAUGGGCGAAAGCAUGAUCCAGCAAUGCCGCGUGAGUGAUGAAGGCCUUAGGGUUGUAAAGCUCUUUUACCCGGGAUGAUAAUGACAGUACCGGGAGAAUAAGCUCCGGCUAACUCCGUG